UACGGGGGGGGCAAGCGUUGUCCGGAAUUACUGGGCGUAAAGGGCUCGUAGGUGGCCAACUAAGUCAGACGUGAAAUCCCUCGGCUUAACCGGGGAACUGCGUGUGAUACUGGAUGGCUUGAGUUUGGGAGAGGGACGCGGAAUUCCAGGUGUAGCGGUGAAAUGCGUAGAUAUCUGGAGGAACACCGGUGGCGAAGGCGGCGGCCUGGACCAACACUGACACUGAGGAGCGAAAGCCAGGGGAGCAAACGGG
rnacentral:rRNA from 1 species